GACGGAGGGGGCAAGCGUUGUUCGGAAUUAUUGGGCGUAAAGGGCUCGUAGGCGGAUCGGCAAGUCUGACGUGAAAUCUCCACUGCUCAACAGGGAGAGGUCGCUGGAUACUACCGAUCUUGAGUAUGGUAGAGGACUAUGGAAUUCCGCGUGUAGCGGUGGAAUGCGUAGAUAUGCGGAAGAACACCGGUGGCGAAGGCGGCCUGCUGGGCAGUAGCUGACACUGAGGCGCGACAGCGUGGGGAGCAAACAGG
rnacentral:rRNA from 1 species